GGGUUCUAUUACUUUAUGCUAGCAGUGUGAUUAUUACCCUUUUGAUUCCUAUUACCCUAUGCUUUAUCUUUCAGCUAAGUGUACUCGUGACCCUACCAGCACUUUUCAAGAUACUUUCGACGUAUUCAUUGCGGUGAACAACGCGGUUGGGACAGCACACUCACGACGUGGAAGGUCACAGAAAUGUUGAAAGACAUCAGGUAAGUUACGCUAAAGUGCGUUUCAGAGCUCUUCAGUGACUUGUGUUUACUGCGAAACAGAUUGGGCAUACGCUUCACCCGUGCAACUUCGUCAUGUGCUCCACGGCAGCACAAGCCUUUACGGCUGUGCCACUAUGUGUGGAAACGUCGUAGCGGAUGAAUGUGAAUUAU